UCUCUGCAAAGAAUAGUUCACAAAGCAUCAUAUUUAGUGUCCAAUAGCAAGGGUUUGCAUUUUUUAACUAAACACUGAUAAACUUUCAAAUUCAAGUUACACUCCAAGGGCAUUGGUUCGAUUUGAGGCUAACAAAAAAGUAGACCAUGGUUGACUUAGAUUUGCUGGGUUAAGAUCUAAAAAAUUGUAACAUCACAAUAUGAGUCUUGCAUGAGCAACAAGUCAACAAAUGAUCUGGUGAUGAAGCAAUCAGUAGGGGAAACUCUUGACACAAGAUACUGUCAGUCUUGAUGCAAUCAUGUACAGAUAAUUCCAUUCUUAGGGCAGCCAACAUGUGGUGCUGUCAGUCUUCAUGCAAUUCUUACAUAGGGGGUAACACUAUUUCUGUUAGCUCAUAUAAAGCACCAUGUGGUGUCCAGAAGAUGAGCUGCUAUCAGUUUAUAGCAAGUGCCCACACCUGUCCCUCUAAGGAUGGAUGUGUUCUCCAAUCAGAAUUUCACAGAUUUAGCAUGAAAACCAAGUAAAGUUAAUACAGGUCUUUAAUUAUUUUCUAUAUACGAAAUAUAACCAACAGACACUUGGACCAUGCUUCAUUAAUUACCUUGUCUUGGUUGAGUAUCAAAUACUAUACAUUCUGGGGGUACAAUAACAUGAGACUAAGCAGAGAUAAAAUCCUUAAAGGACUUUGAAAAAUACAAUAACAUGAGACUAAGCACGAUAACAUGAGACAAAGGAGAGGAAAAUAUGCAAUCUUUAAAGGAAUUUGAAACACUCUUGAUCUAGUGCUCUUGCCCAUUCUUCUGCACACAGAACCUAGUGUUUAUGUAUACACGAUACCCUGUGAAUUUGCUAGCAUGGAAUUCACAUUAUACAUAGAUGGAACAGUAACUAUGUCCACUUGAAUGCACAUAUCAAAAUAGGUUACUGGUUUAGAAAUUUGUUAGGGGAGUAUUGUGAUUUUUAAAUACUAUGUGCAUUUCUGCUACGAGCUAAUAAAUUCUCCAGUUAUUCCUUUUCCUCUUCUCCUAGAUGUAGUAAAAGCACCAGUUGAUAGCAGGAUGUCUAACAAAACAUAAAAGUUGAAACUUUCUCUAGUUUCGACCCUUCACACUCUGCCUCUACAAAGCGUUUAGUAGUUUGAUUUAAUUCUGUAAGCAUCAUCAUUACACCAAUUCAUACUGCAAGAUGUCUCGCACAGCAAAUGUAAUCAGCAACUAGCUUGUACUGUAUUCAGCAAGCAAUGAGACAUUAAGGUUUAGGUAAUACUCAUGUAUCAAUAAAACAGGCUCCAUGUUAGGCAGACUUGGAUCACAAGCUCACAGUGAACCAAGCUAGAGCAGCUUCUUUUUAGCCAAGUCUCCAUGGAUCAUCUUUCCCUUUGUUGCAGAAUUAAUAAAAGCAUCAAACCCAACCUUGCCCUUGAACAUUAAGCUACCCAAGAAAGCAACACAUGGCCAAGUGUGCACUCUUAUCAGUUUAAUAUUAGAAACUAGGCCAUUUCAAUUGACUCAAAUUUAAUUUCUGAAAUCCCUGUGAUCCAACUUUAGAAAAUUAUAAAAAUCAAGUGUCUGAGACUUUAGUUACAUCUGUUGCAAUGAUGUGUUUGAAAUCACCAUAUUCUUAGCAUUUAUGUUUUUUCAUGUCUACGAGCGUGUGCGCGCGUGUGAGUGUGAGUGUGAG
rnacentral:lncRNA from 1 species